rnacentral:misc_RNA from 1 species
CACAGCAAUUGUGAAGAGGUAGACGGAGAAGGCGAAGAAGAAGAAGAGGAGAGAGAAAAUCUGCCGCCGCCGCCAUCACCACCGCCGUCGUCGUCGUCGUCGUUGCGGUGGAGUCUCUUUCUAAAACCCUCAUAGAUUCAUCUAAUCGAGAUCAAUAUUUGUUUGGACAUUGGAUGGAUUGAUUUUGUGUGGCUGAUUAACUGGAUAGUUCAACUACGGAGUAAGGUUUGUUUGAAGUUGUGUGUACGAGCGGAAGAGUGUAAAGAUGGAUUUGGUUGCUAGCUGCAAG